rnacentral:lncRNA from 1 species
UCCACUGAACACAUCUUGAGUGGCUGGUCAUCAUUGCUGCACACAGGCUCCAUCUACAGUUGAGUAAGACCAUUGACGACGCUUUCCUCUUGCAGUGGGUUCAGCUUUGUCUAGCAUAGUUAGGGCUCUCCAGCAGGGAGGAGACUUCCAGCCCAGUUCUAGCUUAAUUUCUCCAUGCCCUGUCACCAGAACAUUUGAUGUCUUCAGGGAUAAGGUCUUGCCAACAGCAGUUUUGGUUGCCCACCAGAACUAGAAGGGAACCAGCCCUCAGUUGUUGGGAUACUUUUUGUUCUUGUUUUAUUUGUUCCUUGAGAAGGUCUUGGUAUAUAGCUUUGGCUAUCCUUGGCCUUAAACUGAUUCUCCUGGCUCAACCUGCUCAGUACUAGGAAGGACUAUGGGCAAGUAUUACUAUGCCCAGUUUGUAUUAAGCAAAUGUUGGUGAGUUAUAGUUACCUCUCUUGUGACAUCAUUGACUCACAUUUACUUAGAAUUAUGCCCUUUAAUCUCAAGUAUUUUAUGGAGUUUCUCAGUUUUCCAUUAUUGUUUUCUAGUUUAUUCCCAUUUCCAUUUGUGAGCUUUGUAUAAUUUUUAUUUAAGUGCAGAAGUGCAGGCCUUUAAUCCUAGCACUAAGGACACAGGUGAAUAGAUCUCUGAGUCUGAGGUUAGCCUAUCUACAUUCCAGGUUUCACACAAGCCACAGCCAUGAAGUAUGAGACCCUGUUUCAAUUUUUUUUACUUAUUUUUAUCUGUGAGUGUUUAUAUAUGAGUGUCUGCCUGAAUGUUUCUACGUAUGUAUACCACAUGCAUGCCUGAUGCCCACAAAGGCCAGAAGAGAAUGUCAGAACUAGAACUGGAACUAGAGUUACAAGUGGUUGUGAGCCACUGUGUGGGUGCUGGAAAACUAGGCUAGAAAAAGCAGCCUCAUGGUGGCAUCUCUCCAGCCCUAUUUAGGAUAUUUGAAGUGUGUUUGUGUGGUCCAGGGUAUGAAUUACAAUGCUGAUUGUUUUGGAUGAGCUUGAAAUAAAUCUUUAUUGUUGGAUGUCAUACUCUAUAGGUACCAGUUGCAUCCAGUUGGUUGACAGUGUUAUUCAGUUCAACUGUGUCUUUCACAAUUUUCUACCUACUGAACCUGCCAAUUACUAGUAGAAUGGGGUUGGGAUUUUCAACGAUAAUAGUAGAGUCUACUAUUGCAGUUUCUGCAGCCCAGUUAACAGGUUUUGGUCUGUAGGCCAUUGGACAGUGACUCAGAGCUAGGACAGAUCUGUGUCACCCCUGACCCCCUUAGGUGAGCUGGAAAUGCUAGAGAAGAAGAAUUCAGAUGGUCUUCUUAUCUCCGUGAUGGGACCUAUAGUCCAUGCAAUGGAGACAGUUUCUGAAGUUGUUUGUGGACACACCGAGUUAACAAUAGGACCUCUCAUUUAAAAUGGACAAUCUGUUUUUCAGAAGUAUCAGAGGAUGUCCUCCCAUUCUCAUCAUGAAAACUUGGCAAGUUCAAGGU